UCCCUGGUGGUCCAGUGGUUAGGACUCCAUGCUUUCAACGCCGAGGACUCAGGUUCAAUCCCUGGUCAGGAAC
rnacentral:tRNA from 1 species